GGUUGACCUCGGGUCAGGUAGGAAUACCCGCUGAACUUAAGCAUAUC
rnacentral:rRNA from 1 species